UCAAAGCUAAACCACACAUAUAUAUAUAUAUAUAUAUAUAUCUUAGAUGUGAAAGAAGAAGAAUCAAAAUGCUCUCUCUGAGUUUGAACCCUUCUUUUGCAACAACAUUAUUGUUUGUCCUCCUCCUUAAAAGCCUAACCCGUGAAGAAAUUCUUGUCCUCAUUGCUUCUUUAUUUUACCUUUGAGACCUUUGAGAAGGAAACCAAAAAAAAAAAAACAGAAAAGAAGAAGAAAGAUAUUCUUGAUCUGUAAAAGAUAUUUGAAUGGUGACAAAAAGGAACCCCACCACUUGCCACAAAGUUAGAAACCCAGAGAUAAAAUAAUUUAACGUUAUUAAAAUGCUUU
rnacentral:lncRNA from 1 species